rnacentral:siRNA from 1 species
GGACAGGUGUAAUCACACUAUUA